GUCGUCGUCGUCGUCAGGCCGCCACCGUGGGACGUGUGUGCUGCCAGUUGACCGGGUCGCUGUUGACAGGCCGGUAGGCAGGAGGGCGCGUACGUGUGGUGUUCUCCUUCCUACUGCUUACCUCCUCGCCGCCCUAGUCUUCACCCUUUCUUGUUCGUUUGCCCACUUCAUCCUGGUUGUCCGUGCCCUUCUCCCCCCCGCGCCUCCAAUUGGCUUGUCG
rnacentral:misc_RNA from 1 species